rnacentral:rRNA from 1 species
GACGAACGCUGGCGGCGUGCUUAACACAUGCAAGUCGAACGGAAAGGCCCUGCUUUUGUGGGGUGCUCGAGUGGCGAACGGGUGAGUAACGCGUGAGUAAUCUGCCCUUGACUUUGGGAUAACUUCAGGAAACUGGGGCUAAUACCGGAUAGGAGCUCCUGCUGCAUGGUGGGGGUUGGAAAGUUUCGGCGGUUGGGGCUGGACUCGCGGCUUAUCAGCUUGUUGGUGGGGUAGUGGCUUACCAAGGCUUUGACGGGUAGCCGGCCUGAGAGGGUGACCGGCCACAUUGGGACUGAGAUACGGCCCAGACUGCUACGGGAGGCAGCAGUGGGGAAUAUUGCACAAUGGGGGGAAGCCUGAUGCAGCAACGCCGCGUGCGGGAUGACGGCCUUCGGGUUGUAAACCGCUUUCGCCUGUGACGAAGCGUGAGUGACGGUAAUGGGUAAAGAAGCACCGGCUAACUACGUG